rnacentral:lncRNA from 1 species
AUCAUUUCGAGCCAACUCUCUCAAGUGAAAUAGAAAGCCAAAUUUGCAGAUUUGAGGUUGAGCCAACUUAAGAAAAAUUCGAGCUGACUUGAGAUCAUUUCGAGUUGACACUGGAUCAUUUCGAGCUGACUCAUGUGCCUCUAACAGAGAUAACAGCUAGUUCUGCAGGAUAUCCAAUUUUAUUCAAAACUUUUCCAAUGGCUCUAUUUUGCCUCCAAUGGUCAUAAAUGGCCAAAAAUGGGUUCAAAAUGCAUGAAACUUGGAAAGAAUGCACAGUAGAUAUAAGAGUAGCCAAGGAACCA